GAGUUUGACUUACUCAAAUUAAUGUGUACUCUAGAUUGCUGCAUCGAUGGUACAGUUACUCGGGGGUUUAUUGCUUUCAUUUACUUAGGUUAUGAGCCCUCUGCUGCCAACAGAACAUCAUUUUGUCCCUUCUUUAGUGACUGAUCUAUAAGCUCAAAGAAUCACUCUCAUAAUUUUGUCUUUUCAUUACUCUUGGUUAGCAGUAAUCAAAAGUCAUCAUCAUCAUCAUCAUCAUCAUCACUUGGCCAUCCAUCCCUAAUUAAUGCUACUAUUAUAGAUAACCCAAAGUGAAAUUGUUACCUCAUUAUUUUGUUUCUCUGUUUUGGUUUCUUUUGGGUUGUGGUCAUUUAUAAUGACAUCUUCUGAUAUUGUAUUUCAGCUUUGAUAGCCACAGAUAUGUGGUAGAUUAAUGACAUUUUAAAGAUAUCCUUUCUUUUAACUUCAUGGUUCUCAGGCUUUUCUUUCUCUGUACACUUGAGAGAUAUGACAUAUGAUCAACAGUGGUUCCCUAUGACAUGGCGUCUUCAUGGUUGGGUGGAGAUGAGCUUGUAGCUUCUUUAGGAGUCUUAUCAGAAUCUACAGAAUAUGAAUGGUUUGAAAACACCAGGUGAUUCUAAUCUGUUUACCCCCUCCUGUGUUUUGUUUGGUUUUAGGGGCAAGGGUCAUGUUUCCUUAUUGUCUUUGGAACAGGAUAAGGAUUUCUUUUGAGAAUCAUUUUUAUUUAGGGUAAAAUUUUUGGCAUAAAAAAAUGGUACAGGUUAUUCAGCUAGACCGUACUUGUCUAAAUAUCUUUUUGCUUCUCUAAAUAUCCUUUUAAUAAGUGAAACAGGGGGCUCCUGGGUAGUUUAGUUGGUUAAGCAUCUCACUCAAUUUCGGCUCAGGUCAUGAUCUCAUGAUUCAUGAGAUAGAGCCCCACAGUGGGCUCUGUGCUGACUGUGGAGCCUGCUUGGGAUUCUCUCUCCCUCUCUCUUCCCCUCCUGCGCGCGCGCACACACACACACACACACACACACACACACUCUCUCUCUCUCUCUCUCUCUCUCUCAAAAUAAAUAAAUAAACCUUAAUAAAAGUAAAGUAGAUUGGAAAGUACACUGACAGGAAGCCACUUCUGAGUGUUUAGAAUGAAGUGGGCCACCUGGGUGGCUCAGUCAAUUGAACAUCCAACUCUUGAUUUCAGCUCAGGUUGUGAUCCCAGGGUUGUGGGAUCGAGCCCUGCACCAGGCUCCACUCUGAGCAUGGAACUUGCUUGAGAUUCUCUCUCUCCCUCUGCCUCCCCCUCCCCUGCUCAUGCAUUCACAUUCUUCCUGUCUGUCUCUGUGUCUCUCUCUCUCUCUCUCUCUCAAAUUAAAAAAAAAAAAAUUUUUUUUUAGAGUGAAUUAAAUAUGUAGUUCACUGCUACUUACUUUGAAAUCGCCUUUUUGUUUUCUUUUUUUUCUUUGGAAUGAAGCUCCUUUCAUAAGGAAGCUAAAUAUGGGAAACGGGCAAGCAAGCAGAUACAACUCUAGUCAUCUUGAGAAUCAAUGUGGGUCUAGCUUUUUAGUAUCACUACAUUAUUCCCUGUAAGCUGUGUGACCAUGUAAAGUGAAAAUAGCUUUGAGAUCACCUUCUAUUUGUCUGUACACUGUUGACAGAAAAUAAAUCGGACUGAUCCUCAGCAAAAUUGAAAAACAAUGAAUUCUGUUUUAUCAGCACAGUCCCCCUCCUGCUUCCCUGCCAUUUUGGGUUUUUUUUCCUUUUCUCUUUCUCUUCUACCUCUCCUUUGCCCUCGGGUGACUGUUUUCUGCCUUUCUCUGGCCCCACUUGGCAUGUCCACACAGAAAAUGCUCUAGUAUCUUUACACAGUUGUCUUUCCCUUCAGCCUUCCCUUUUUAAAACAUGUAGAUGGCAAAAUAUCAGGUGACUCAUCUUCUUCUAGAUCUGGGAAAUUCCUUUUUUCUAACUUAAUAUGAAUAUUACUUCAGUUAUUACCCAAGAUAAAUGUAGAUCAAGCCAUGCCACCCUUCACACCUUCCAGGCUUAGCCUUCUAUAAACUGUAAUUGCUCCUCACCUACUGUUAGUCUGCUGGGACACUUUUACUCAUUGAAAUAGCUGUUUGUUCUCUAAAUUCCAUUUUUAAAAAGCACAUAUCUGCUAGUCAGGAGUCUUGGUGAUGAAAGUAGAGUGAGGUUGAAAGUGUGGGAUGGGCAGAAUAGCUUUCAUGUUAAUCACCUCAUUACUUUUUGUGAAGAUGAUGGCUGAACGAUUUCUUCUUAGGGUUGGUUGUUAGCAGGUAACUACACACCUGUGAUUUUACAGAUGGUGAUACACAUAUUCAUGUAACGAGAGCCACCCAAAAGUUACAGGAAUUCUAUACAUGAAGAGCGAAUGGGCAAGAAAAAUUUUUAAACUUUCAUUAUUUUAUUAGAAAUGCUUUCCUUUUAAAAGUGCUUAGCCAGAAAUGAAUUCUGGAUAAUAUAUAUGUAUGGUAUCCAAGUGUAUAGUUUUCCUUUGUUGCUUACCGAUCCCGUGCUUUCUGUAUUUCUUACUCUGGCAAUUCACCAGAUGACAUAGUAGGGGGAACGCAGAGAAGAGGUAAAACUCAGUGAUUCCCACCAAGACAAAGGGUCCCACCUUGUCCACUGCAAGGAGGAAAAUACGUAUCAUCUGGUAGGAUAUAUUUGGCAUUCCUUUUAUAGGAAUGAGAAGUUGUGUGUAAAAUAGCAAGAUAGGGUUUGUCACCCCUGAGAUCUACCUGGCAUGUGAGGACCCUCAUUGCCAGGUGUGUGUCAUGGCAGCCUCAUCCUCCUGGCUGCUGUCUGGAAUCACAUCUAAGAACUAUCAAUGACCCUUACAUAUACCUUGAGCAGUUCUAUCUUUGGAUACAUGUUUAUGAAGGAGGCUCUUCUAUAAGCACAAUUUUCUUUUCCAAGAAAGUGUUUCCAUUUUUGUAUAAAGUAAGUUCUUCUGUGAAAGAAGAACAGGUAAGCAUUACUUGUUUUGAAAUGUUUGACUUGUGUUCUUAUUCACUGGUAUUAAAAUAGUCCGUUGGUAUCUUAAAAACUAGAAAUAAGAAACAAUGUUACACGCAGUUUUCCAAUUAGAUAUGGGUAGUACACUUUGUUAGACUGGUUUUUGUCUGAUUCUUUUAAAGUUCUUGGCGGAAGACAUUAUAUGUAUUGCAGAUUGCCCGAAUUCCAGAAGAUAUUUUACCAUUAGAUUGCAGCUUUCUUAAAACUUAUUCAAGACCUAGAAAUUGGUAAUUUGUUUCAUUAGGUUUGCAAAACAAGUUUGGGAGAAUGCUAUCAUAGCCUAAACAUACAGAAUAAAUAUACAUUCUUUUUUACUGAGAUAUAAUUGACAUAUGAUGUUAUAUUAGUCUCAGAUGUACAACAUAAUGAUUUGACAUUUAUAUACAUUACAAAAGAUUACCACAGAAGUAGUUACCAUCCGUCACCAUAAAAAGUUAUUACAAUAUUAUCGCCUAUAUUCCCUAUGCUGUACUUUACAUCUCUGUGACGUAUUUAUUUUAUAACCGGAAUUUUGUACCUCUUAAUCCCUUUCACCUGUUCUGCCCAUUCCUCCACCUCCUUGGCAAUCACGUUUGUUCUCUGUAAGUCUGUUUCUGUUGUUUUGUUUGUUCAUUUGUUUUUUAGAUUCCAGAUAUAAGCAAAAUCAUAUGGUGUUUGUCUUUCUCUGUCUGAAUUAUUUUACUUAGCAUAAUGCCCUCUAGGUCCAUCCAUGUUAUCACCAAUGGCUGAGUAAUGUGCCAUUACAAUAAUGUUCCAUUGUUUUGUGCUUUCAGCUCUCACAUUUAGGUCUUGAGUCCAUACUUUGUGUAUUUUUGCACAUGGUAUGGGAAAGUAGUCAAGUUUCAUUGUUUUACAUGCAGCAGUUCAGCUUUUCCAACACCAUUUAUUGAAGAGACUGUUUUUUCCCCAUUGUAUAUUCUUGCCUCCUUUGUCAUAGAUUAACUGACCAUUAAAGCAUGGAUUUAUUUUGGGCUCUCCGUUAUGCUCCACUGAUCUGUAUGUCUCCUUUUGUGCUGACACCAUAUCGUUGAUUACUGUAGCUUUGUAAUGUAGUUUGAAAUCUGGGAACACGAUACCUCAGCUCUGGUGUUCCUUCUCAAGAUUGCUCUGACUAUUGGGGAUCUUUUGUGGUUCCGUACAAAUGUUAGGAUUAUUUUUCUAAUUCUGUGAAAAAUGCUAUUGGUAUUUUUAUGGAGAUGGCAUUGAAUCUGUAGAUUGCUUUGGACAGUAGGGACAUUUUAACCAUAUUAUUCCAGUUCAUGAGCAUGGUACAUCUUUCCAUUUCUUUGUGGCAUCUUCAAUUUUUUUCAUCAAUGUCUUAUAGGUUUUCAGAUUACAGAUUUUCCAACUCCUUUGUUACAUUUAUUCCUAGGUAUUUUCUUUUCGAUGCAAUUAUAAAUGGGAUUAUUUUAUUAAUUUCUCUUUCUGGUAAUUACUAGUAUAUAGAAGUACAACAUAUCUGUAUGUUAAUUUUGUAUCCUGUAACUUUGCUGAGUUCAUUUGUAGUUCUAAUAGUUUUUUGGUAGAGUCUAUAGGGUUUUCUUUAUAUAUAGGAUUAUGACAUCUGCAAGUAGUGACAGUUUACUUAUUCCUUCACAAUCUAGAUGCCUUUUAUUUCUUUUUCUUUUCUGAUUGCUGUGUUUUGUACUUCCAGUACAGUGUUGAAUAAAAGUGUCAAGAAUGGGCAUCCUUGUUUUGUUCUUAGAAGGAAAGCGUUCAGCUUUUCACCAUUGAGAAUGAUGUUACCUGUGGGUUUGUCAUAUGUGGCCUUUUUUAUAUUGAGAUAUGUUCCCUCUGUACCCACUUUGUUGAGGGUUUUUAUCAUAAAUGGAUGUUGAAUUUUGUCAAAUGGUUUUCCUGCAUCUAUUGAGAUGAUUAUAUGCUUUUUAUCCUUCAUUUUGUUAAGGUAGUAUAUCCUGUUGGUGCAUUUGCAAAACCAUCCUUAUAUUCCUGGAAUAAAUCCCACAUGAACAUGGUAUUUGAUCCUUUCACUAUAUUGUAGAAUUUGGUUUGGUCAUAUUUGGUUAAGUAUUUUUGUAAAUAUGUUCAUCAAGAAUAUUGGACUGUAAUUUCUUUUUUUGUACAAAGUGUCUUUGUCUACUUUUGGUGUUGGGGUAAUGUUGGCCUUGUAGAAUGAAUACAGAAACAAUCCUUCCUCUUUAAUUUUUUGAAAUACUUUGAGAAGGAUAGGUACUUACUCUUCUCUCAGUGUUUAGUAGAACCCACCCGUGAGAAGCCAUUUGGUCUUGGACUUUUGUUAGUUGGGAGUUUUUUGAUUACUGAUUCAUUUCAUUACUAGUAAUUGGUCUGUUCAAAUUUCCUAUUUCUUUGUGAUUCAAUCUUAGAAGAUUAUGUAUGUAGGAAUUUAUCCAUUUCUUCUAGGUUGUCCAGUCUGUUGGCAUCUACUUGUUUUAGUAGUCUCUUACCAGCUGUAUUUUUAUGGUGUCUUUUGUAUCUUCUCCUCUUUCAUUUCUGAUGUUGCUUACUUGAAUCCUGCCUCUUUUUCUCUUAUUUUUUAAGUCCUAUUUCAUUUAUUUCUACUCUUUAUUAUUUCCUUCCUUCUACUAACUUUGGGCACUGUUUGUUCCUCUUUUUUCUCAUUCCCUUAAGUGUAAGCUUAGAUUGUUUAUUUCACAUUUUUCUUAAUGGUUUGGUAGGCUUUAUCACUAUAAGCUGCUUCUGCAGAGCACCUGGGUGGCUCAGUCAGUUAAGUAUCCAACUCUUGAUAUCAGCUCAGGUCAUGAUCUCUCAGUUUGUGAGUUUGAGCCCUGCAUUGGGCUCUGCAUUGACAGUGUGGAGCCUUCUUGCGAUUCUGUUUCUGCCUCUCUCUAUCUCUGCCUCUCUCUCUCUUCUCCCCCCUCACUCUCCCUCUCACACUCUCUCUCUCCCUCUCAAUAAAUAAAUAAACUUAAAAAAAAAACAUUUUUUCUGUGCAUCUUCUAUUUUGGAACAUUAUAUUUUAAUUUUCAUUUGACUCAAUUCAAUUGUUUGAAUUCCUCUUUCAUUUCUCCAUUGACGUCUUGGUCGUUUAUUGGCAUGUUGUUUAGCAUCCACAUGUUUGUGUUUUUUCCAGUAUUUUUUUUCUUGUAAUUGAUCUAGUUUCAUACUGUUGUGGUUGGAAAAGAUGCUUGAUGUAAUUUCACUUUUAAAUUUAUUGAGACUUGUUUUGUGGCCUAACAUGUGAUCUCUCCUGGAGAAUACAAUGUUUCAUGUGUGUCUCCAAAGAAUGUGUAUUCUUUUUUAAUUUUUUGUUUUUUGUUUUUGCUGUUCAGUUUGGAUGAUUUCCACUACCCUGAAAUCCCAGAUCACUGAUCUGUGCUUCUACAUCAUCUCAUCUGCUGUUGAUUCCCUUUACUGUGUUUUUCAUUUUAGUUAAUGUAUUCUUCAGCUCUGAUGCAUUCUUUUUUAUAUUUCUUAUCUCUGCUGAAGUUCUCACUGAGUUUAUCUACUCUUCUCAAGUCUGGAGAGCAUCCUUAUGACCAUUACUUUGAACUCUUCAUAAAGUAGAUUGCUUAUUUCCAUUUCAUUUAGUUGUUUUUUUUUUUUUUUGAGGUUUUGUCUUGUUCUUUCAUUUGCAACAUGUUCCUCUGUCUCCUCCUUUCCCUGCCUAUUUUUGUUUGUAUAUAUUAGGUAGAUCAGCUGUGUCUCUGGGUCUUGAACAUGUAACCUUAUAUAGAAGGCAUCCUGUGAGGCGUAAACCCCACCCCACCCCCUGGUAACUAUACCCAGGCACUCCAGGGAUAUCCCCUGUGUGGGCUGCAUGUCCCCUCCUUUGUGGCUGGAUCACAACUUAUGUGGGCACACUGGUACCACUUUUGUGGGGUUCCAGUCCCAGCUGAGGCGACUCAGUGUGGUGGGACAGUAGCCACUUUUGGAGGGACAGGCACCAGUCUCAGUUGAGGCUCUCUGCUGAGUGCAACAGGAGGGGAACCACUUUGGAAGGGUAUCCCCCAGGAAGGGAAGGUUGGGCUGGACAGGUCCACAGGUUGACAUCUGGUCAGGGUAAGCAGUGCUAGAAAGGUAAAUGGAUAGUGUCAGAACUGGUGCCCACCAGCAUCAGCCCAGCGAGGCAGAAGGAAGGCAAGAAAAAUGGUGCCAUCCAAUUCCACAUAAUAGUUAGAUCAUGGCAUUUGUCUGUUCUCUGUCUGACUUAUUUCACUUAGCAUAAUGACCUCAAAACUCAUCCAUGUAGUUGUAAGUGGCAAGAUUUCCUUCAUUUUUAUGGCUGAAUAAUAUUCCAUCGUAUAUGUAUACCAUAUCCUCUUUGUCCAUUCAUCUGUCUGUGGACCCUUAGGUUGCUUCCAUUGGAAAUAAUGCUGCGCUGAGCAGAGGAGUACGUAUAUCUUUUUGACUUAGUGUUUUCUUUUCUUUGGGUAAAUAGAGGUUGAACUGCUGGAUAAUAUGUUAGUUCUCUUUUUAAAUUUUCGAGGAGCCUCCAUUCUGUUUUCCAUAGUGGCUGCACCAAUUUACAUUUCUACCAAUAGUGCAUUUUUCUCCACAUCCUCACCAACACUUGCUAUUUUUUGUCUUCUUGAUAAUAACCAUUCUGACAGGUGUAGAGUGGUAUCUCAUUUAUGGUUUUGAUUUGUAUUUCCCUGAUGGCUAGUGAUGUUGAGCAUCUUUUCAUCCGGCUCUUGGCCAUCUGUAUAUCUUCUUUGGAAAAAUGUCUAUUCGUAUCCUCUGCCUAUAUUUAAACUGGGUUGUUUGUUUGAACUUACAUUGUGAAAUAUCUACGUAUAUAUCCAAGGAAAAGUGCGUUGUUACAGCAAUAAUAACAGGAAUAUAGCUCACUUCUUCACAAAUGGUUCUAAACCAGAUGGGCUCCUGUUUGUAUCAGUAUAGUGUUAUCAGGAUUCAAAUACAUUUUAACAUUUAAUUUCUUAAAAAAUAAAAGAUUUGAAAAAGUUUCUUUUAUUUAAGGUGCU